rnacentral:rRNA from 3 species
UAGGGAAUCUUCCGCAAUGGGCGAAAGCCUGACGGAGCAACGCCGCGUGAGUGAUGAAGGUCUUCGGAUCGUAAAACUCUGUUAUUAGGGAAGAACAAAUGUGUAAGUAACUAUGCACGUCUUGACGGUACCUAAUCAGAAAGCCACGGCUAACUACGUGCCAGCAGCCGCGGUAAUACGUAGGUGGCAAGCGUUAUCCGGAAUUAUUGGGCGUAAAGCGCGCGUAGGCGGUUUUUUAAGUCUGAUGUGAAAGCCCACGGCUCAACCGUGGAGGGUCAUUGGAAACUGGAAAACUUGAGUGCAGAAGAGGAAAGUGGAAUUCCAUGUGUAGCGGAGAAAUGCGCAGAGAUAUGGAGGAACACCAGUGGCGAAGGCGACUUUCUGGUCUGUAACUGACGCUGAUGUGCGAAAGCGUGGGGAUCAAACAGG